rnacentral:rRNA from 1 species
GUGCCAGCGCUGCGGUAAUACGUAGGUGGCAAGCGUUGUCCGGAUUUAUUGGGCGUAAAGGGAACGCAGGCGGUCUUUUAAGUCUGAUGUGAAAGCCUUCGGCUUAACCGAAGUCGUGCAUUGGAAACUGGGAGACUUGAGUGCAGAAGAGGAGAGUGGAACUCCAUGUGUAGCGGUGAAAUGCGUAGAUAUAUGGAAGAACACCAGUGGCGAAAGCGGCUCUCUGGUCUGUAACUGACGCUGAGUUCGAAGCGUGGUAGCAACAGGAUAGAUACCUGGUAGU